rnacentral:rRNA from 1 species
GGCUAAGCGACUAAGCGUACACGGUGGAUGCCCUGGCAGUCAGAGGCGAUGAAGGACGUGCUAAUCUGCGAUAAGCGUAGGUGAGGCGAUAUGAACCGUUAUAACCUGCGAUUUCCGAGUGGGGAAAAUAAGUGUGAUUAGUCAAACUAUCAUUACCUGAAUCAUUAGGUUAAUGAGGCGAACCUGGGGAACUGCAACAUCUAGGUACCCCGAGGAA